UACGUAGGGUGCAAGCGUUGUCCGGAAUUAUUGGGCGUAAAGAGCGUGUAGGCGGCCCGAUUAGUCCGCUGUGAAAGUCCAGGGCUCAACCCUGGAAUGCCGAUGGAUACUGUCGGGCUAGAGUCCGGAAGGGGCGAGUGGAAUUCCUGGUGUAGCGGUGGAAUGCGCAGAUAUCAGGAGGAACACCAAUAGCGAAGGCGGCGCGCUGGGACGUUACUGACACUGAGGCGCGAAAGCGUGGGGAGCGAACAGG
rnacentral:rRNA from 1 species